rnacentral:rRNA from 1 species
AUUGAACGCUGGCGGCAUGCCUUACACAUGCAAGUCGAACGGUAACGGGCCUUCGGGUGCCGACGAGUGGCGCACGGGUGAGUAAUACAUCGGAACGUGCCCGAUCAUGGGGGCUAACGCUGCGGAAGCUUUGCUAAUACCUCAUACGAUCUACGAAUGAAAUCAGGGGACCGCAAGGCCUUGCGCGGACGGAGCGGUCGGUGGCAGAUUAGGUAGUUGGUGGGAUACAAGCUUACCAAGCCGCCGAUCUGCAGCUGGUCUGAGAGGAGGAUCAGCCACACUGGAACGGAGACACGGCCCAGACUCCUACGGGAGGCAGCGGUGGGGAAUGUUGGACAAUGGGCGCAAGCCUGAUCCAGCCAUGCCGCGUGCAGGAUGAAGGCCUUCGGGUUGUAAAAUUCUUUUGUACGUAACGAAAAGCCUUCUUUUAAUACAGGAGGGUCAUGACGGUACCGUAAGAAUAAGCACCGGCUAACUACGUG